GGACGAACGCUGGCGGCGUGCUUAACACAUGCAAGUCGAGCGGGUAAGGGCCCUUUCGGGGGUACACGAGCGGCGAACGGGUGAGUAACACGUGGGUGACCUGCCCUCAGCUCUGGGAUAAGCCUGGGAAACCGGGUCUAAUACUGGAUAUGACUCCAUGACGCAUGUUGUGGGGUGGAAAGCCUUGUGCGGCUGAGGAUGGGCCCGCGGCCUAUCAGCUUGUUGGUGGGGUGANGGCCUACCAAGGCGACGACGGGUAGCCGGCCUGAGAGGGCGACCGGCCACACUGGGACUGAGACACGGCCCAGACUCCUACGGGAGGCAGCAGUGGGGAAUCUUGCGCAAUGGGCGAAAGCCCUGACGCAGCGACGCCGCGUGAGGGAUGACGGCCU
rnacentral:rRNA from 1 species